UGGGGAAUCUUGCACAAUGGGGGAAACCCUGAUGCAGCGACGCCGCGUGAGCGAUGAAGGUUUUCGAAUCGUAAAGCUCUGUCCUAUGGGAAGAUAAUGACGGUACCAUGGGAGGAAGCCCCGGCUAACUACGUGCCAGCAGCCGCGGUAAUACGUAGGGGGCGAGCGUUGUCCGGAAUUACUGGGCGUAAAGGGUUCGCAGGCGGCAUGGCAAGUCCGAUGUAAAAGGCGAAGGCUCAACCUUCGUAAGCAUCGGAAGCUGUCAAGCUUGAGUGAAGGAGAGGCAAGUGGAAUUCCUAGUGUAGCGGUGGAAUGCGUAGAUAUUAGGAGGAAUACCGGUGGCGAAGGCGACUUGCUGGACUUCAACUGACGCUGAGGAACGAAAGCGUGGGUAGCAAACAGG
rnacentral:rRNA from 1 species